UACAGAGGUGGCAAGCGUUGUUCGGAAUUACUGGGCGUAAAGGGUGCGUAGGCGGUGUAGCAAGUCGGGAGUGAAAUACCCCAGCUUAACUGAGGAAUUGCUUUCGAUACUGCUGCGCUUGAGUGAGACAGAGGUAAGCGGAACUUAGGGUGGAGCGGUGAAAUGCGUUGAUAUCCUAAGGAACACCGGUGGCGAAGGCGGCUUACUGGGUCUCAACUGACGCUGAGGCACGAAAGCUAGGGUAGCAAACGGG
rnacentral:rRNA from 1 species